rnacentral:lncRNA from 1 species
GGCUGCUGAUCUCCUGCGCCCCAGUAGAAGAGACUGCGGCUCCCACCACCCCACCUUCUCCAUCAUCAACACCAUCACCAUCCUCAAGUGCACUACAAAAAUCUCCUCCUCCCACAGCUGUUACUCCAUUGGUAACUGACGACAAUGUCACCACCAUCGACUCCCAGACUGCACCUGUCUCUGUUACUGAAGAUACCACAAGAAGCAACACAAUAGUGGAGCACAUCGUCUCUGAAGACACACCUGAACAGGGGAUGGAGGAAUCCUCAACAGCAACACCAACCACAUAUAUCCAGUCCUUAUCUACCCAACCUGACCCGUCAACUGUUGAUGUCACCACUACAAACUCAGCUCAGUCCACCAGUGAUGCUGAGGUCAGCUCUACUGUUUCUACUCAAUCCACUCAGCACGUGAAAGACAGGAUGGGAGAAAGCAGCAACACCAGCACUGUUGUCGACCCAGCUUCAUCACCAGUGGGCAACUCCUCAAUGAGUUCUUCUUCCAUAUCCCAGUCCAACACAGUCCAGCACUCAUACUCAACUUCAGAAGCUCACCCAACACCUGUGACCCAGACUCCAGCAGCCUACCAUUACAACCAGCACUGCUUGCAGCAGCAUCAACAGCAGUUAUUUGAAUAAGGAGAAAGACAGAUACUCCUCAGGGCUGCUGAUCUCCUGCGCCCCAGUAGAAGAGACUGCAGCUCCCACCACCCCACCUUCUCCAUCAUCAACACCAUCACCAUCCUCAAGUGCACUACAAAAAUCUCCUCCUCCCACAGCUGUUACUCCAUUGGUAACUGACGACAAUGUCACCACCAUCGACUCCCAGACUGCACCUGUCUCUGUUACUGAAGAUACCACAAGAAGCAACACAAUAGUGGAGCACAUUGUCUCUGAAGACACACCUGAACAGGGGAUGGAGGAAUCCUCAACAGCAACACCAACCACAUAUAUCCAGUCCUUAUCUACCCAACCUGACCCGUCAACUGUUGAUGUCACCACUACAAACUCAGCUCAGUCCACCAGUGAUGCUGAGGUCAGCUCUACUGUUUCUACUCAAUCCACUCAGCACGUGAAAGACAGGAUGGGAGAAAGCAGCAACACCAGCACUGUUGUCGACCCAGCUUCAUCACCAGUGGGCAACUCCUCAAUGAGUUCUUCUUCCAUAUCCCAGUCCAACACAGUCCAGCACUCAUACUCAACUUCAGAAGCUCACCCAACACCUGUGACCCAGACUCCAGCAGCCACCAUUACAACCAGCACUGCUUGCAGCAGCAUCAACAGCAGUUCUUUGAAUAAGGAGAAAGACAGAUACUCCUCAGGGCUGCUGAUCUCCUGCGCCCCAGUAGAAGAGACUGCAGCUCCCACCACCCCACCUUCUCCAUCAUCAACACCAUCACCAUCCUCAAGUGCACUACAAAAAUCUCCUCCUCCCACAGCUGUUACUCCAUUGGUAACUGACGACAAUGUCACCACCAUCGACUCCCAGACUGCACCUGUCUCUGUUACUGAAGAUACCACAAGAAGCAACACAAUAGUGGAGCACAUUGUCUCUGAAGACACACCUGAACAGGGGAUGGAGGAAUCCUCAACAGCAACACCAACCACAUAUAUCCAGUCCUUAUCUACCCAACCUGACCCGUCAACUGUUGAUGUCACCACUACAAACUCAGCUCAGUCCACCAGUGAUGCUGAGGUCAGCUCUACUGUUUCUACUCAAUCCACUCAGCACGUGAAAGACAGGAUGGGAGAAAGCAGCAACACCAGCACUGUUGUCGACCCAGCUUCAUCACCAGUGGGCAACUCCUCAAUGAGUUCUUCUUCCAUAUCCCAGUCCAACACAGUCCAGCACUCAUACUCAACUUCAGAAGCUCACCCAACACCUGUGACCCAGACUCCAGCAGCCACCAUUACAACCAGCACUGCUUGCAGCAGCAUCAACAGCAGUUCUUUGAAUAAGGAGAAAGACAGAUACUCCUCAGGGCUGCUGAUCUCCUGCGCCCCAGUAGAAGAGACUGCAGCUCCCACCACCCCACCUUCUCCAUCAUCAACACCAUCACCAUCCUCAAGUGCACUACAAAAAUCUCCUCCUCCCACAGCUGUUACUCCAUUGGUAACUGACGACAAUGUCACCACCAUCGACUCCCAGACUGCACCUGUCUCUGUUACUGAAGAUACCACAAGAAGCAACACAAUAGUGGAGCACAUUGUCUCUGAAGACACACCUGAACAGGGGAUGGAGGAAUCCUCAACAGCAACACCAACCACAUAUAUCCAGUCCUUAUCUACCCAACCUGACCCGUCAACUGUUGAUGUCACCACUACAAACUCAGCUCAGUCCACCAGUGAUGCUGAGGUCAGCUCUACUGUUUCUACUCAAUCCACUCAGCACGUGAAAGACAGGAUGGGAGAAAGCAGCAACACCAGCACUGUUGUCGACCCAGCUUCAUCACCAGUGGGCAACUCCUCAAUGAGUUCUUCUUCCAUAUCCCAGUCCAACACAGUCCAGCACUCAUACUCAACUUCAGAAGCUCACCCAACACCUGUGACCCAGACUCCAGCAGCCACCAUUACAACCAGCACUGCUUGCAGCAGCAUCAACAGCAGUUCUUUGAAUAAGGAGAAAGACAGAUACUCCUCAGGGCUGCUGAUCUCCUGCGCCCCAGUAGAAGAGACUGCAGGAAUGGGAAUGUCAUUAGUUUUUCUGUAA